rnacentral:piRNA from 1 species
UUUGCUGACGGUGGCCUGUUUUUAUUAUU